rnacentral:rRNA from 1 species
UACGUAGGGUGCGAGCGUUGUCCGGAAUUAUUGGGCGUAAAGAGCUCGUAGGCGGUGUGUCACGUCGGCCGUGAAAACCUGCAGCUUAACUGUGGGCGUGCGGUCGAUACGGGCAUCACUGGAGUUCGGCAGGGGGAGACUGGAAUUCCUGGUGUAGCGGUGAAAAUGCGCAGAUAUCAGGGAGGAACACCCGGUGGCGAAAGGCGGGGUCUCUGGGGCCCGAUACUGACGCUGAGGGAGCGAAAAGCGUGGGGGGAGCAAAACAGG